CCAGACUCCUACGGGAGGCAGCAGUCGGGAAUAUUGCACAAUGGAGGAAACUCUGAUGCAGUGACGCCGCGUGCAGGAAGAAGGUUUUCGGAUUGUAAACUGCUUUAGAUAGGGAAGAUAUAAGACAGUACCUAUAGAAUAAGCACCGGCUAACUCCGUGCCAGCAGCCGCGGUAAUACGGAGGGUGCAAGCGUUACUCGGAAUCACUGGGCGUAAAGAGUGCGUAGGCGGGGUAAUAGUCAGAUGUGAAAUCCUGUAGCUUAACUACAGAACUGCAUUUGAAACUGUUACUCUGGAGUGUGGGAGAGGUAGGUGGAAUUCUUGGUGUAGGGGUAAAAUCCGUAGAGAUCAAGAGGAAUACUCAUUGCGAAGGCGACCUGCUGGAACAUUACUGACGCUGAUGCACGAAAGCGUGGGGAGCAAACAGGAUUAGAUACCCCUGUAGUC
rnacentral:rRNA from 1 species